rnacentral:tRNA from 1 species
GCCUGGCUGGCUCAUUUGGUAGAGCAUGCGACUCUUGAUCUCAGGAUUGUGAGUUCGAGCCCCACCUUGGGCA